GAAGGUUGGGUGGACAUUCCACAUUGUGACAAUUUCCCACCAAACCUUAAGAAGUUAACAUUAUGCAGAACACACCUACAAUGGGAAGACAUGAACAUUCUCAGAAAAUUACCUAAUCUUGAGGUGCUCAAACUUAAACAUCAUGCCUUUGACGGACUAACUUGGAUACUAAGCGAUGAAGACGAAGAUGGAUUCUUGAAGCUAAAGUUUUUACUUCUUGAGCACAUGCAUCUGAAGCAAUGGGAAGCAACAAGUUAUCAUUUUCCAAGCCUUGAGCAUUUAGUCCUAACAGAUUGCUAUUCAUUGGAGCAAAUUCCUUUAGACUUUGCAGAGAUUCAAAUACUACAGCUGAUUGAACUACACAAAUGUAUGCUUUCUGUUCUUAUUUCAGCAGAGCAAAUACAAGAGGAGCAACAAAGCUUGGGAAAUGAUGACCUUGUUAUUCGUGUGAACUAUAUACGUGAGUAAACAUUAAUAAAGAAGUUACACAUUUUCAUCUAGAAAAGCAUAAAAAAUCAUUUUCGUUCUUCCUAAUAUAUGUGUGUUCAUUUUUUCAUUUAUUUAUACUAUAAAAGGUGCUAAUUACAAUUGGUUUGCAAGAGUUGAUCAAGGCAUUGCAAAAGAGAAGUCACAACAGCAUAUGCCGCCAAUCGCUGUUUGUUUCUUACCAAAACAUGGUAGAUUAGGGAGUUCUGAGUUCUUGAUCAAGAUGCCCAAACUAAAGUCAAUUCACUAAGCAUUUUCUUUAGAAAGAAAAGAAGUGUACAAAAUGUUUUUUUAUAAGAUUCAAGUUGGAAUAAACAACACAUUAUAGUCAAACUGAGAAAUGGUAUACAAUAUUGAAUUUUCAACUUCACAGAUAAAAUCACUGUUAAAUUUGUCUAGGGUUGUCAAAAUCAAACCCAACCCGUUUAAGUUUGGGCGGGUUAUUGACCCCCCCAUUCAUUAGCUUAACCCAUUAAAAAUUGACUUGAUAUGUAACCCGAAUUGGCUCAUGAGAAAUCUUGUCAAAAUAUUUUUAAAGAACUUUUUAUUCAAUUUGAUAGGUUAUAUAUAGCCAUAAUAGAAUAAAAUAAUUUUAUUAGGUACUAAAAUAGUUUAAAAGAACAAAUAAAUUCAUUAAGCUUAGUAAAAAUUGAGUUGGGUUGAUCUUGACCCGUUACCUAAUCCGUUUUGGCCCGUGCAAAUUUGAGUUGGGUUGAUAUUUAAUUCAUUACCCAAAUUCGAACCAACCCACUCAAUUGCCAUCCCUAAAUUUGUCUUACCUUUCCCUCCCCAAUUACCUCUUUAAAAAUUGGCACAAAUGAAGAAAGUGCAUUGACCCAAAUGAGGAAAUCAGUUGAAAAGCUUGGAUCUUACACUGAAGUAAGAAAAAAUGAGUUCCCUUUUCCUCUUUUAGUGUAAAGUUCAAAUCUUUGUACUGGUAAUCAGUUUUUUUUUUCUUUUGCAGAGUUAUGGAGAGCAACACUUAUGAGGUUCUUGAUUGCAAGAGUAAUUUCGUUCCCCUCAUAGUAAAGUUUCCUUUUUUUUCUCAAUACAUUGCAUUUUUGUUGUUGUUGAUCUUGUUUGUGCUUAGUUAUUUAUUUCAUAAUGUCACCCUUUUCUUGAUUCCAAUUUUUUUUGACAAAGAAAGUCACUUUAUGAAAUAAUAAUUAUUAGUUGAAUGACCAUCUUAGAAAUGAACUCGUUUUUCUAUAAGAAAUAUUCUUGUUGGUUCACUCAAUGAUGCCUUUUCAUCUUUUAUUAUCUUUAAUUUAGUCACUGUUAUGAAGUUUCAAAUUUCACAGAUCAAACUCCAGGAUAUUGUCAUGGAGUAAAAGUAACUUGUAGAAUUUGAAAUUACCUUACAAUAGUUAUUUUUCAAAGAUAUGACCGAAAAAAGGACUUUUCUCCAGUAUGAAUGCAGUUUGGACAAGUUGUAUGACUUUGGGCCUCAUUUGACAAACUAUUCCAAUUUGCUUUUUUGAACAAGUCUUAUAUACCAUUUAAGUCUCAAUGAACAAAUCCAACUAUGUGACUUAUCUUUACAUAGCCUAAAAGUCUUGAAUUCCCAUCCAUUACAUUGGCUUUGGCCUUUGGGCAUCUAAAUCAAGAACGCAGAACUUCCUAGUAUUCCACAUUCAUCCUACUGUCCUAUUUAGUAAGAAACUAACAAACAGCGAUAUGGCGGCGUAUGCUGCUGUGACUUCACUUUUGCAUACCCUGGAUAAUCUAUCUCAAACUCAUACAUCACAUUCUCUUCUUUACAAAAAAGAGCAAACUGAAGUCCUCAGUGACAAGUACACCUUCCUUAAAACCUUUCUUGAGGAUUUUACUAAUAUUUUCCAUGAAGAUAUAAAGAUGAAGCAUCUCGAAAGGAUGAUCCAAGAAGCUGCUAAUGGAGUGGAAGAUACCAUCGACUCACAUGUAUAUGAUAGCUCUGUCGUAGUGCAAAGCAAGCGAGUACGAAGAAAGGCUGAUAUGAUCUUUCAUCAAAACUUGGAAUAUGCAAUUGAGGAAAUUGAUUUGAUACAAAGAGAGGUUAUUGAAAAGAUAAAGGUCAACAAGUUCAACAGCAAAAUCUCUCAUUCAAGAGAAACUUCAUCUCAGAUUCCUAUGGAUCAAAAAGAUAUAAUCGUUGGACUAGAUGAAGAUUUACUAAAGAAUAAAAGAUCGACUCAUCGUGCAAUCAUCAAGCCUCGAAGUUGUCCCCAUUAUAGGGAUGGGUGGUAUUGGCAAGACCACACUGGCUAGAAGAGUUUAUGAUGAUUCCUUGAUUGCAUACCAUUUUUAUGUUCGAGCAUGGACAAAUGUAUCUCAAGAAUUUGACACUAGAGAAAUUUUUCUUGGUAUUCUUUGCUCCAUCAACGAUGAAGUAGAAAGAAACAGUACUACUGAGCAAUUGGCUGAAAGAGUUUAUCGAAGUUUAAAAGGGAGGAAGUAUCUCAUUAUCCUUGAUGAUAUGUGGUCUAUCGAUGCUUGGCAGCAUGUUAGGAGAUCAUUUCCGGAUGAUCAUAAUGGAAGUCGAAUCGUGUUGACCACGAGGCUUGUAGAUGUUGCAUCUUGUGCUAGUUCUGGCAAUUCCCUUCACCAGAUGCGUUUUCUGAGCAUGGAGGAAAGCUGGACUCUUUUACGCGAGAAGGUCUUUGGGAACGGUAGUUACCCUCCGGAAUUGGAGAAAAUUGGGAGAUACAUUGUCCAUCAGUGUCAAGGGUUGCCACUUGCAGUUGUUGCAACUGGUGGACUACUUUCCAAGAUGAGCAAGGAAACAAGUUCUUGGGAAAAUGUUGCAGAAAAGGUAGGAUCACUCAUGACAAGUGACACUAUGGAUUGCUUGAACAUACUCUCUUUGAGCUACAACCACUUGCCUCAAUACUUGAAAACAUGCUUCCUUUAUAUGGGAGUUUUGCUAGAAACUCGUGAGAUCCCGGUCUGGAAGUUAAUAAGGUUAUGGAUUGCUGAGGGGUUCGUCAAGAAAGUUCAACAUGAAAAUCUAGAAGAUGUGGCGGAGGAAAAAUUUGAGGGAGUUGGUUGAUAGAAGUUUGGUUUGGUGGGGAAGCAUACUUCCCUAGGAAAAAUCAAGACUUGUAAGAUGCAUGAUCUCGUUCGAGAUAUGUGUUUGAGAGAAGCCCAAUAUGAGAAUUUUAUACACUUCAAAACGAGGUAUUACCAAGAUGAUCUUCUAGAAAACAUUAAUUGUCUACGUCGUAUAGUUGAUUUCCAUAAGUAUACAGACAGUGGACUUUCUAAACUUAUGCCACUCACACGUUCUGUUUUCUUCAAAUAUCCAUACUUUUUUUGUUUCCUCUCACAGUCAAGCUUUAGAUUACUUAGGAUAUUAGAUGUUUGCUUUACUUCUUCUUUGUUCUGUGGUCAGUCCAUAUCAGAACUUGUUCAUUUGAGGUAUCUUGCUUGUCCGUCCUUCAAUGGUCUUAUGCAAUCACUAUGCAAGAUACGGAAUAUACAGAACUUAGUUAUUCAUGAUUUAUGUCCAUCUGGUUUAAGUAUGCGAACCCAGUUCCUACCAUGGGAAGUUGUGAAUAUGCCUCAACUAAGACAUAUCCAUACAAAAAAGUUUAGUCUUUUCAUACCCCCACCUACAUCACUAAUUGCUAAGAGGGAGAAUCAUUUACAAACGUUAACCGGAUUGAUGCCCUCAUCUUGUAAUGAAGAGGUGUUUCUAAGAAUUCCAAAUUUGAAGAAGUUGGGAAUAUUAAUUGUUGAUGAUUCAGACACUAUUCAGAAGUGUUAUUGUCUUGAUAAUCUUGUACAUUUAUCUCAGCUUGAGAAGCUCAAAGUUCAGUUCAGAGAGAGUUAUAUGCUAAUUUUCAGGUGGAUGAGCGAAGAUUGGAUGGACCUUUCUUCGCUACACAUUCCACAUUGUGACAAUUUCCCACCAAACCUUAAGAAGUUAACAUUGUGCAGAACACACAUACAAUGGGAAGACAUGAACAUUCUUAGAAAAUUACCUAAUCUUGAGGUGCUCAAACUUAAACAUCAUGCCUUUCUCGGACUAAUUUGGAAACUAAGCGAUGAAGAUGAAGAUGGAUUCUUGAAGCUAAAGUUUUUACUUCUUGAGAACAUGAAUCUGAUGCAAUGGGAAGCAACAAGUUAUCAUUUCCCAAACCUUGAGCACUUGGUUCUAACAGAUUGCUAUUUGUUGGAGCAAAUGCCUUUUGACUUUGCAGAGAUUCAGACACUACAGCUGAUUGAACUACACAAAUGUAAGUGUUCUGUUCUUGUUUCAGCAGAGCAAAUACAAGAGG
rnacentral:lncRNA from 1 species